rnacentral:rRNA from 1 species
GACGAACCGUGCGAACGUUGUUCGGAAUCACUGGGCUUAAAGGGCGCGUAGGCGGGCAAUCAAGUCAGGGGUGAAAUCCUCCGGCUCAACCGGAGAACUGCCUUUGAUACUGGUCGUCUCGAGUGAGGUAGGGGCAUGCGGAACUGAUGGUGGAGCGGUGAAAUGUGUUGAUAUCAUCAGGAACUCCGGUGGCGAAGGCGGCCUGCUGGGCAGUAGCUGACGCUGAAGCGCGACAGCGUGGGGAGCAAACAGG